rnacentral:lncRNA from 1 species
CUUGAACCUUCCCGCUGCUGUCACCCAGGCAGUAGCCUCUUUGGCGUCUGGUGGCUGGAGGCCUCCCGUGGUCUGGAGGGACCACUUAAGCCCACCUACUCCCGCCUCCACCUGCAGGGUCCUCCCCUCCCCCACCACUCACUGCCCCGCGCAGAGCGUAGAGAGCCACACUGCGCAUGCUCCUCAGGGGAGGGCUGCCUGCAGCGCGACGCGACGCGGGCGGGCGGGUGGUGGGGAUUCCAUUCAAGGGACACCUCGGUAGCAGCCACCUGGCCACGACAGCGUCCGCGUCCCAGACUCUGCCCGACUCCGGGCUCGUCCGAACUCGGUUGAGUUGGAAGAGAAACAAGGCAA